AGUUAAGUGAGAAAGCGUACAGGGCGGAUGCCUUGGCAAUCAGAGGCGAAGAAGGACGUGCUAAUCUGCGAAAAGCGUGGGUGAGUUGAUAAGAAGCGUUUAACCCACGAUGUCCGAAUGGGGAAACCCGAUAGGCGAAGAGCCUAUCAUUGCGAGGUGAAUAAAAUAGCCUCGUAAGGCGAACCGGGAGAACUGAAACAUCUAAGUACCCCGAGGAAAAGAAAUCAACCGAGAUUCUGUGAGUAGCGGCGAGCGAAAGCGGAGGAGCCAGUAAGUAAUGCUUAGAUAUUUAUGACGAUGACACGGCAGAUUUAACCUUUGAUAUUGAAUUUCAAGAGCCAAUUACCGCCGUUAUUGAUCCAAAAGGCACGUUAGAAAUUGACGGUCAGCGGUACAAACUUGAUGACAUUGAAAUUAUUACCGCAGAAAAAAUAGAGCUAAUUAUUAAUGAAUGACAUUAUUUUGAAAUUAUCAAAAGAAAGUUUAAAACGCUUCCGCCGUGAUAUGCGGUUACUAACACUUUCCCCUGAUAAAAAGAAACAAGUUAUUCAGCGUACAGCUUGGCGAAUUAAAGAUAACGCGAAAAAAGCCGUUAAUCAACAGCGAAGCCCUGAUGGUAAACCGUGGGAAAAGCGAAAAGUUGGCAAAGGGAAAAUGCUUAAACGCCGUGCAAAAUUUUUGAAUACAAAAAUACAAGGCAAUAACACGGGCGUAUUAGGCUAUAAAAAUAAAAAAAGUUCGGAGUUAUCCGCAGAACAUCAAUACGGUUUAGAAGUUGAGUUAGCGAAAAAUCAAAAAUUGACGUUAGGCGACAAAAUUCAACUUAUCAAAAAUAAAAAUAAUCCUUGCUCUGAUAGCCAAGCUAAAAAAUUAAAAGAUUUAGGCUACCAAAUUAGGCUUAAAGGUGGGCGAAGAAAAAAUGCCAGUUUACGGGAAAUCAAAGCACGCUUAACAAUGGGGCAAGCUGGGCUAAUUAUCCGCCUAAUGAGUAAAGCAUUAAAUCAAAAUAAGCAAAAUGCGGUAAAUGGAAAAAUAAAACUACCUGCACGCCCAUUUUUAGAUGAAAACACGCAGCACAAUGCUGAAAUAAUGGCUGCCGAAUUAGCUAAAGUUUUGACACUAAAAUAACAACAAUAACAAGAGGUCAAUCACUAUGUACCCUUAUGUACGAAUUAACGCCCUUAAUCAAUUAAGUGGCCCGACAAAAGAAAUUGAACGCCACGCCCUAUUUGUUGGCGUGGGUGAAACUAAUACCAUUCCACUGGUGAUAAACACUAGGGCGAUAACCUUGUUCUAUGAUCUUGCCCUCUUUUAGCCACGGCUGCUGAAAGUGUUGCGUUGUUUCAAUCGCUUUUUCUCCUCGCAGCAUUAAGUCCUUUUCAUCGGGGGCGUUGUCACAAAAUAAAAUGCAUUCCCCUUUUUGAUUAAAUACGUAAAACAUUUAUCCCUCCUUUAUCCCUAUCACUAAGUAAUUGGCUUUUCCAUCUAUCCAUUUCCCAACAUCCAUUCCUCGUCCAGAGCCGUGCCAGACUUGAGCGGUUACCUCUCGUCCGGUUAAAUAGCAUUUUUGAUAAUAAUGUUUUCCAGCCCCCACUUCUUGAAUAUCCCAGCCUGAUAAACUGGGGUCGUCGAAGUUUAAGGAGAUAAAAAAUUUACAUUCAUUUUCAGAAAAACCAGAAGGUAUAGGAAGCGUGCUACCGUGCUGAACUACGCCAGUUAAUAUUUGUACAUCUUUAAUACGGCUAUCACAGCGUCUCCAUUCACCCCAUUCCCCAUUGGCGGUUUGAUUUCGAGUGAAUAUCAAUCCAUAAUCAUAGGUGUUAUAUACCUGUUUAUAACCAUAAGCUGAUGGCAUUACCGAUAGGCUCCCUGCUCUGGCUUCAACGGGAUAGCCUCUGUCACAACGUGCAUUGUCAUUUCUAGGUUGCCCUGCUAUACAAGGGAAUUUCAGUUCGUUAAUGUUCAUCUCACCUAAAUCUGCGAUGAGACUAAAGCUACCAAUUUGAGUAAAAAGCGUUUUUAAAGAGUGACCAUUUCCUAGGUUAAAAUCUUCACCUUUUAGAGUGCCGACAACCUCUAAUCCUUCUUGAGUGAGUGACAUUCCUUUUUUGCUUCUAUCCUCACUUAGGUAGAAGGUGUGUCCCUGUUGGCUGUGGUAGUUUGCCCAUUCUCUUGCUUGAUUGCCUGCAAAUAAUCGCUUCAUUACUAAGGUUUCAUUGAGUACGAGCGUUUUUUUUAUCAUACCGCCUUCCUCAAAAAUGGCAUUUCCAUCCACUCGGCUUAGAUAUUUAUGACGAUGACACGGCAGAUUUAACCUUUGAUAUUGAAUUUCAAGAGCCAAUUACCGCCGUUAUUGAUCCAAAAGGCACGUUAGAAAUUGACGGUCAGCGGUACAAACUUGAUGAAAUUCAUAUAGACCACGCUGAACAUUUUGAUUUAACCACGAAAAAAGAGAGCUAAUUUCUUAUGCACGUUACAGGUGGCUUUACUAAGGAGACACUCAAGCAAUUUAAAAGUCUAGCUAAUUAUUUCCGUUUAUCUCCGAAAAUAAAACAGCAGACAAUGCAACGAGUGUUGUGGCGUUUAAAAGGCAAAACAGAACAAAAUGUUACUAGGCAACAAACACCAGAAGGUAAACCGUGGAAACCACGGAAAAAACCGCGUAAAGGCUUAAAAAAUAAAAUGCUCCGCCGACGCGGGCAAUAUUUAAAUUCAAAAUUAGAGUUUAACGGCAAUCAAGGACGUUUAACUUAUACCGAUAAAAGAUCGGCUCAAGUUGCCGCUAUUCAUCAAUACGGGCUAGAAGUUACCAAUGUUCAGAAUGAGCAAGACAAAAUUCAUCUUGAAAGAUUGCUAAAACAAAAUAAUCAAAAAGCAACACCAAAGCAAGCCAAAAGGCUAAAAGAAUUAGGUUACACCGUAUCGACAGGAAAGAAAUUAAAAAACGGUAAAACAAAACGGAAAAAUGCCAGUAUGAAAGACAUCACAAGUAGGCUUUCUCGUGGUCAAGCUGGUUUAAUUAUCCGAAUGGUUGAAGAAAAGCAAGGGAUAAAAAUUCGCCGCGGUUUACGUUCUUACAAAAUGACUAAGCGAGAAUUUCUUGAUGAAAAUGAACAACGUAAUGCUGAAGUUAUCACAGAAGAGCUUUUUAAAGCCUUUGAAAGAAGCGGAAUACAUUUAACGCUUUAAGCAAUGAAUGACUAAAACAACAAUAACAAGAGGUCAAUCACUAUGUACCCUUAUGUACGAAUUAACGCCCUUAAUCAAUUAAGUGGCCCGACAAAAGAAAUUGAACGCCACGCCCUAUUUGUUGGCGUGGGUGAAACUAAUAGGGUGACUGCGUACCUUUUGUAUAAUGGGUCAGCGACUUAUAUUUUGUAGCGAGGUUAACUGAAUAAGGGAGCCGAAGGGAAACCGAGUCUUAACUGGGCGAAGAGUUGCAAGGUAUAGACCCGAAACCCGGUGAUCUAGCCAUGGGCAGGUUGAAGGUUGGGUAACACUAACUGGAGGACCGAACCGACUAAUGUUGAAAAAUUAGCGGAUGACCUGUGGCUGGGGGUGAAAGGCCAAUCAAACCGGGAGAUAGCUGGUUCUCCCCGAAAUCUAUUUAGGUAGAGCCUUGUGUGAAUACCUUUGGGGGUAGAGCACUGUUUCGGCUAGGGGCCCAUCCCGGGUUACCAAACCGAUGCAAACUCCGAAUACCAAAGAGUAAUGCACAGGAGACACACGGCGGGUGCUAACGUCCGUCGUGGAGAGGGAAACAACCCAGACCGCCAGCUAAGGUCCCAAAAUCUAUAUUAAGUGGGAAACGAAGUGGGAAGGCUUAGACAGCUAGGAUGUUGGCUUAGAAGCAGCCACCAUUUAAAGAAAGCGUAAUAGCUCACUAGUCGAGUCGGCCUGCGCGGAAGAUGUAACGGGGCUAAAAUAUAGUACCGAAGCUGCGGCAUCAAUCGAAAGAUUGUUGGGUAGGGGAGCGUUGUGUAAGCGGAAGAAGGUGGUUCGAGAGGAUUGCUGGACGUAUCACAAGUGCGAAUGCUGACAUAAGUAACGAUAAAACGGGUGAAAAACCCGUUCGCCGGAAGACCAAGGGUUCCUGUCCAACGUUAAUCGGGGCAGGGUGAGUCGGCCCCUAAGGCGAGGCUGAAAAGCGUAGUCGAUGGGAAACGGGUUAAUAUUCCCGUACUUGGUAAAGCUGCGAUGUGGGGACGGAGAAGGUUAGGUUAUCGACCUGUUGGAGAUGGUCGUUUAAGUUGGUAGGUGGGUGAGUUAGGCAAAUCCGGCUCACCGUUAACACUGAGAGAUGAUGACGAGGCACUAAGGUGCUGAAGUAACUGAUACCACACUUCCAGGAAAAGCCACUAAGCUUCAGGCUUUACUAAACCGUACUGAAAACCGACACAGGUGGUCAGGUAGAGAAUACUCAGGCGCUUGAGAGAACUCGGGUGAAGGAACUAGGCAAAAUAGCACCGUAACUUCGGGAGAAGGUGCGCCGGCGUAGAUUGUAGUGACUUGCUCACGCCGCUUUAUGAGUUUCGGGCAAGUGUUAGAACUCAAAGCCGAAGAUCAACCAAACGGCGAAACCAAACUUUAUGCGGUGAUUGCUCCGAAUCAAUAUUUAGUCAAUAUGAAUGCCGAAGGGCAAGGCUUAUUUUC
rnacentral:rRNA from 1 species